rnacentral:rRNA from 1 species
GUGGGGGAUAUUGCGCAAUGGGGGCAACCCUGACGCAGCAACGCCGCGUGAACGAUGAAGGUCUUCGGAUUGUAAAGUUCUUUUAUUAAGGACGAAGAAGUGACGGUACUUAAUGAAUAAGCUCCGGCUAACUACGUGCCAGCAGCCGCGGUAAUACGUAGGGAGCAAGCGUUGUCCGGAUUUACUGGGUGUAAAGGGUGCGUAGGCGGCAGAGCAAGUCAGAUGUGAAAUCCGUGGGCUUAACCCACGAACUGCAUUUGAAACUGUUUUGCUUGAGUGAAGUAGAGGCAGGCGGAAUUCCCUGUGUAGCGGUGAAAUGCGUAGAGAUAGGGAGGAACACCAGUGGCGAAGGCGGCCUGCUGGGCUUUAACUGACGCUGAGGCACGAAAGCGUGGGUAGCAAACAGGAUUAGAUACCCUAGUAGUCC